rnacentral:tRNA from 1 species
GCCCGGGUGGUGAAAUUGGUAGACACGCAAGACUUAAAAUCUUGUUUUCGUAAGGAAGUGCCGGUUCGACCCCGGCCCCGGGCACCA